rnacentral:lncRNA from 1 species
AGUAAAUUGUUUUUAAUAAUUUUUUAUAGUACCCAGUAUAAUAUAUAUAGAUAUGGAUAAAUAGAUAAUGACAGUAAUGCUGCUUUCACAUCACAAAACAUUGAAAUGUAUUACAUGAGAGUUUUCUUUUAAAUAUGAUCAAGAAAACUUUUUCUUUGAACUUCUUGUCCCCAUAGGUUAUAUGCAAGGCAAGAUUUCUGGACAGUGACAGAGCCAAGGCAAAAAUCUUGCUACAAUGGAAGAAAAUCCCCAAAUCAGAACUAUAGAAGCAUAUCAAUUGAAAUAUAUUCAACAGAUAAUUUAUAAAAUACUUCCAUUGUGGUGGCAUUGGGAUUAUAAAGGAAGACAAGAAUUUGCACAUUCAGCAAAGGAGGAUCCAAGAGGCCAGGUGACUUACUCAAAUUCUCACUGUUGACUGUAUGGGGAAAGAGCCUGAUCUUGGCUUCUUCCUUCACAUUUUGGCAUGCUUUGAGCAAGGCCAUCACGUCUUUAAUAUGGGACCCAGACUUGUUGGUUGGGGGUAAGGACAUGAGUAUUUCCUUCUCCCACCUCAGUAUGUGUACCUAAAUAUGCAGUACUGUUGAAAAAGAGCAUACAUCAGUAAAUAUUCCUUGUAAGCUCCUUUAGUGAUUGAUUAUGAUGUUUGAGUACAUAAAGUUAUACAUAAAAUAUACGAUGAGUGUGCUUCUGUUUUAACUCUCAUUCUCUUUUAAAUCUUUUCCCCUAGACUUUGAUUGCCUCUCAUGGCAGCAAAGAACCUGUACUCUAAAGUCAAAUGAUUUGUGUUUAAAUCUUGACUUUUCUAUUCUUCAUCUAUAUUGACCUAGGAAAAAUUAUUUAACAGCUGUGUAGAUUAUAAUAGUACCUCCCUCAUGAGGUAGUUAUUGGGAUAAUUCAUGAAUAACAACUAUACAUUUGAUUAAUGUUGAUGGUGAGGAUGUUGAUGUCAAUGGCAAUGAUAAUAAUAGCACACUCUCUUGGUUUCCCACCCAUCCCACUGGUCACUUAUUUUCAGUUCUGUUGAUUGAUACCUCAUCAGCUUGACUUCUCUUAACAUUGUUGCUCCUCAGGGAUCACCUUCUGUAACUGUAGUCCCUUCUCGGUGAAAUCAAUGUAAUCCUAUGGCUUUUAGUACUGUAUUAGCCAGGAUUCUCUAGAGAUUCAGAACAGAACCAAUAUAUAUAUGAGGAGACAUAGAGAUAGA